rnacentral:rRNA from 1 species
UACGGGGGGGGCAAGCGUUGUUCGGAAUUACUGGGCGUAAAGGGCUGGUAGGCGGCCAACUAAGUCCGACGUGAAAUCCCAAGGCUUAACCUUGGAACUGCGUCGGAUACUGGAUGGCUUGAGAUUGGGAGAGGGAUGCGGAAUUCCAGGUGUAGCGGUGAAAUGCGUAGAUAUCUGGAGGAACACCGGUGGCGAAGGCGGCAUCCUGGACCGAUACUGACGCUGAGGAGCGAAAGCCAGGGGAGCAAACGGG